CUUACAGUUUGAAAUUUAUUACGUUGGGGUAAAUCUGGAACUCCAUGAGACAAACUCGGUCCCAGUCCAGGUUACAGAGACGCGCUGACUCCAGGGAGGAGAGAACGGCGUCUACACCGCUGGUUUCUCCGCCUCAGCCACGGGCACCGGUGAAGACCUGAGACCACCCCCCUGCCCUCAAGGACACAGGCGAAAGGAGGCCACACACCUCGGGGCCGCCGCCAAACUGCGUCCCAUUCCCCCUGGUUUACGGGGUGAAAAAAACGCAGAGCGCGCCAACAGGAGAGAAAGUAGCCUGAUUUUUGUUCCUGAGGCCCUGACUCUGAACGGGAGAUUCCAAGAGGGGAAGGUAACCAGGCUGGACUAGAACACGCUGGGAUCACAGCUGUCUCCUGGGAGAUUCAGCAGCCAGAACAGACUAAGAUAAGCUUACUGCUACAAGCAACAAAUGGACGGAUUUCAUUGACACUUACAUGAAAAGAAGCCAGACAUAAAAGAGUCUGUAUUCUGCUGGUUUCAUACAUGUGAUAUUCAAGCAUGAGCAAAACUAAUCUGUUACCUGGGGAAGGAAGUGCAGACACUGACUGCAAAGGGACGUGAGAAAACUCUUCUGGGUGCUGGAAAUAUUCCAUCUUGAUCUGGGUGACGGGCACAUACACUUGUGUGUGUGUACUUAGUUGUGUGCUUAAGAUCUUUGCACAUAUAAACAUCACUACACAAUAAAGAUAUCUUUGCAAAAUAAAAUUUAA
rnacentral:lncRNA from 1 species